GUUCUGUUGUCUCCUCCAAACUCGGUGAGGGGAUCAGUUGUCUUCGGUGACCAUGCGACUGCCCGACCGCCCAAACCUCGGAGCUGCACGGGUGAGCUGCGCCGGCUGUCUUGGAGGGCGUGUGUGGGCGUGGGCUGCAUGGAUCUUCACCACCUCGCUGCAGCACCGCCCUGGCUCAAGCCUCCCGAGUCUGAGUGCAGUGCCAUUCUCGCGUGCCUGGCGGGCUGCCACGGAACAGCAAUAGUAAGACUCGUGGGUCGGCAGUGUUGCUGGUUAAUGAGCGAUUGGUUCCUAAGAAGUCGGAAGACACUUUUUUUUUUUUUUUCAAUUAAAUAUUUAGGAUACGAUUAGUGGUUUUCCAGAGACUCUUUAAGGUAAGAAGAAAUUGAGACACCUGGGUUAAGAAAAUAAAACGCCCUUUAUUGGUAUUUUCCGGAGACACUUUGAGGUAAGAAAUGGAGACGUGUGGGUUAAAAGAAUAAACCUUUAUUAUUUAGUAUGAAGAAUGCAAGUCUCGAAUUAUGUAGCAUGUAUGGAUCCUACGGAACUUUUAUCUUCAACUAAACUAGCUAAUAAAAAAAAAACCCUGGGUCGCCUGUUGCAAAUAAACUAGCUAAUAUAUAUAAAAACUAUGCUGCAUCAACUUUCAACAGGAAUGUGGUACACGUUAGUGUAGCCCGUUAACAAAAAGCAAAAAAGUAUAUACAUUCGUCAAAUAAAUCGUCACCUAAUUGGAGAGUAAAAUGAUUAUUCUUACUAGGCCCCUCUAUUUUUUUUUGUAUGUCAUCCCCGCCAUUAUUAAGAUGAAUCCUCUACACCGAACUCGCUAGUCUUGAAAGUUUCCUCCUUCCUCUACUUGUUUUUGUUUUACUUGUAACAUGUUGUUAAUGUCCUUCUUCCUUUUCCUAUCAACUGCCUCUAUUAUUACAUAACUAACUGCUUGAUCGUUUUUGUUUUACUUGUAACAUGUUGUUAAUGUCCUUCCUUUUCCUAUCAACUGCCUCCAUUAUUACAUAACUGCUUGAUCAUAAACACCACAAAGAAAGCAAAUAAUGUAAACGGGAAAGACAAAAAAGUAUAUAUAUCGCAUAACCUACCUAGCCUGACAAAAAAAACACACCCCAGCAUUGGUUUUUUACCCUCCAAACAAAAAAUCUGUGGUGGUCAGCAAGGGCAGCUAAGGGGGCUCUCCAUUACUGCAGUGCUCUGCGAAGAAUGUCAAUGCAGUGCCAAGUGUGUGGGCGAGUCU